rnacentral:snoRNA from 1 species
GCUCCUGGUGCUUAUCACAAGCUGUGCUCCUACACUGACUGCAGAGAAAGAGGAAAAGAGCAAAGCUUUGCCAUACACACUUCACCAAGGCCGUAAUACUUGGUCUUGAUUGUGAACGGGGUAUGG